rnacentral:rRNA from 1 species
CCUACGGGAGGCAGCAGUGGGGAAUAUUGCACAAUGGGGGAAACCCUGAUGCAGCGACGCCGCGUGAGCGAAGAAGCGUUUCGGCGCGUAAAGCUCUGUCAGCGGGGAAGAAACACGGUUCGCGAGAGCCGCGGACGGCACCCGACCAAGAAGCCCCGGCUAAAUACGUGCCAGGAGCCGCGGUAAAACGUAGGGGGCAAGCGUUAUCCGGAUUCACUGGGUGUAAAGGGAGCGUAGACGGCGAGGCAAGUCUGGAGUGGAAGGCCGGGGCCCAACCCCGGGACUGCUCUGGAUACUGCCUAGCUGGAGUACAGGAGAGGUAAGUGGAAUUCCUAGUGUAGCGGUGAAAUGCGUAGAUAUUAGGAAGAACACCAGUGGCGAAGGCGGCUUACUGGACUGUAACUGACGUUGAGGCUCGAAAGCGUGGGGAGCAAACAGGAUUAGAUACCCGAGUAGUC